rnacentral:snRNA from 1 species
GUGCUCACUUCGGCAGCACAUAUACUAAAAUUGGAACGAUACAGAGAAGAUUAGCAUGGCCCCUGCACAAGGAUGACACACAAAUUCAUGAAGCAUUCCAUAUUUUU